rnacentral:tRNA from 1 species
GGGUAUGUAGCUCACUUGGUAGAGCGCUCGCCGUCCGCGCGAGAGGACAGGGUUCAAAUCCCUGCAUCUCCC